rnacentral:rRNA from 1 species
CAUAUCAAUAAGCGGAGGAAAAGAAACCAACAGGGAUUGCCCUAGUAACGGCGAGUGAAGCGGCAAAAGCUCAGAUUUGAAAUCUGGUGUCAUUUUGGCAUCCGAGUUGUAGUCUGUAGAGGAGCAUUCGAGUGUAGCUUUGGCUUAAGUUCCUUGGAACAGGACGUCAUAGAGGGUGAGAACCCCGUUAACGGCCGUUGUCUUAUGCUCAUGUGAAUCUCCUUCAACGAGUCGAGUUGUUUGGGAAUGCAGCUCUAAAUGGGUGGUAAAUUCCAUCUAAAGCUAAAUACUGGCAAGAGACCGAUAGCGCACAAGUAGAGUGAUCGAAAGAUGAAAAGAACUCUGAACAGAGAGUUAAAUAGUACGUGAAAUUGUUGAAAGGGAAGCACUUGCAACCAGACGCACUUGCAGCUGAUCAACCUCCAUUCUUGGAGGUGCACUCAGUUGUUUGUGGGUCAGCAUCAGUUAUGGCGGUGGGAAAAAGACCAAGGGAAUGUAGCUCCUUUCGGGGAGUGUUAUAGCCCUUGGUGUAAUGCUGCCUGCUAUGACUGAGGACUGCGC